AGAGUUUGAUCCUGGCUCAGAAUCAACGCUGGCGGCGUGCCUAACACAUGCAAGUCGAACGAGAAAGGGGAGCAAUCCCUGAGUAAAGUGGCGCACGGGUGAGUAACACGUGACUAACCUACCCUGGAGUGGGGGAUAACUGAGGGAAACCUUAGCUAAUACCGCAUAAUACCCACGGGUCAAAGGAGCAAUUCGCUCUGGGAGGGGGUCGCGGCCGAUUAGUUAGUUGGCGGGGUAAUGGCCCACCAAGACGAUGAUCGGUAUCCGGCCUGAGAGGGCGCACGGACACACUGGAACUGAAACACGGUCCAGACUCCUACGGGAGGCAGCAGUGGGGAAUUUUGCGCAAUGGGGGAAACCCUGACGCAGCAACGCCGCGUGGAGGAUGAAGUACUUCGGUACGUAAACUCCUUUCGAUCGGGACGAUUAUGACGGUACCGAGAGAAGAAGCCCCGGCUAACUUCGUGCCAGCAGCCGCGGUAAUACGAGGGGGGCGAGCGUUGUUCGGAAUUAUUGGGCGUAAAGGGUGCGU
rnacentral:rRNA from 1 species